UUAAAAAGCGCCAGGACUAAUCUUCGUGGUUAGAUUAGUUGACGAGGAGGAGGUUUAUCGAAUGUUCGGCGGAUACCUCCCGGUUGCAAGACGCACAACCGAAAAUUUCUUCUUUAAAACACAGAGGCAACUUUGUGCACAAAGAGAGGAAUAUG
rnacentral:ncRNA from 1 species